rnacentral:rRNA from 1 species
ACUCCUACGGGAGGCAGCAGUGGGGAAUAUUGGACAAUGGGCGAAAGCCUGAUCCAGCCAUGCCGCGUGUGUGAAGAAGGCCCUCGGGUUGUAAAGCACUUUCAGUGAGGAAGAAGGCUUGUCGUUAAUACCCGACAAGAAGGACAUUCACUCACAGAAGAAGCACCGGCUAACUCCGUGCCAGCAGCCGCGGUAAUACGGAGGGUGCAAGCGUUAAUCGGAAUUACUGGGCGUAAAGCGCGUGUAGGUGGCUUGUUAAGCCAGAUGUGAAAGCCCCGGCUCAGCCUGGAACUGGCAUUGACUGGCA